UUUUUGGAUUAAGUAUAACUCGCAGAAAGAUGUACCCUUGGGACCAAGUUAUCUUCCUCUCCUGCCCACCCCCACACCACUUUCUCAGAGCAGUGCUUGGUGUCAGGCCUCAACUCCAGGUGUCUCAUUCUGAGAAACAGUUGUAUUUUCAGAGUUACAUAAAUAUAAGACCCAAGCCCCUCUAUAUUUUCAUAAUCAUGCACCUUCAUAAACGUGGGUAUCUUGCAUCACAAAAUACCAGGGAAAGCUUUGCUCCAUCUGAGGGACCAGCUUGUUGGCGCUCUGCAGAUAAUCUUGCAGCUGACUGUUUUCUUCCGCUGGCAAGCUCAUCAUCCAGUUCUCCACUCAGGUGGUUCUUUCUUUCUGGUCCAGGACUCCUUGUGAUGUGGAAGAAUAAGAAUAAUCCACGGAGGUGUGAUGGUGUUCAUGGGAACGUUUUUCCGUAAUGGUCACUUACUAGAGGCUACACCCAAAGUCAGGAUGCAAGUGGCCAAGGGCAGGGAUCUCCAUCCCCUGGGAUCUAAUGCCUGGUGAUCUGAAGUGGAGCUGAUGUAAUAAAGAAGUAAAACGCACAACCAGUGUAAUGCACUUGAAUCAUCCCAAAACCAUCCCUGAAACAAUCCCUCCCCAUCUCUGGUCCCUGGAAACAUUGUCUUCUACAAAACCAGUCCCUGCUGUCAAAAAGGUUGAGGACUUCUGGCCAAGGGGGACUUUGCAUAUUGGAGUUUUUUCUGCAGUAGUUCCCCAUUCUCCAGGGAGGGAGGCUGAGAACCGGCUGGGAGGAAGUAGAGGGCAGAGCGUCUCCUUGAUGUUGGUUGUGGAAAACGUGAC
ensembl:lncRNA